rnacentral:rRNA from 1 species
GGACCAAUUUGUUGGUCGUGCCUCGGUACGUACUGGUAUUAUUGGUUUCUCCCUUCUGAAGAACCUUGAUGUCAUUAAUUUGGUGUCUUGGGGAAUCAGGACUGUUACUUUGAAAAAAUUAGAGUGUUUAAAGCAGGCUUACGCUUGAAUACAUUAGCAUGGAAUAAUGAAAUAGGACGUUUGAUUCUAUUUUGUUGGUUUCUAGGAUCGACGUA